rnacentral:tRNA from 1 species
GGAUUGUGGCUCAGUGGUAAAGCCCUUUCCUAGCAAGUGUGAGUAACUGGGUUCAAUCCCCAGCACCA